rnacentral:piRNA from 1 species
UCCCAGAGACUGACCAUCAGAGGCCUUGAA